rnacentral:rRNA from 1 species
GGACCCGCACAAGCGGUGGAGUAUGUGGCUUAAUUCGAUGCAACGCGAAGAACCUUACCUAGGCUUGACAUGUAUUGCUAAGCACGUGAAAGCGUGUGACUCUUCGGAGACCUUACACAGGUGCUGCAUGGCCGUCGUCAGCUCGUGUCGUGAGAUGUUUGGUUAAGUCCAGCAACGAGCGCAACCCCUGUGGAUAGUUGCCAGCAAGUAAUGUUGGGGACUCUAUCCAGACUGCCCAGGUCAACUGGGAGGAAGGUGGGGAUGACGUCAGGUCAGUAUGGCCCUUACGCCUAGGGCUGCACACGUACUACAAUGCCCAGUACAAUGAGAACCGAGACCGCGAGGUGGAGGAAAUCUGCAAAACUGGGCCCAGUUCGGAUUGGAGGCUGCAACUCGCCUCCAUGAAGUUGGAAUCGCUAGUAA